GCUUAAGGAGGGGUUAAUGUCCUAUCAGCUAGUUGGUGGGGUAAUGGCCUACCAAGGCAAAGACGGGUAGCCGGCUUGAGAGGGUGGUCGGCCACACUGGGACUGAGACACUGCCCAGACUCCUACGGGAGGCUGCAGUCGAGAAUCUUUCGCAAUGCCCGAAAGGGUGACGAAGCGACGCCGCGUGUGGGAAGAAGGCCUUCGGGUUGUAAACCACUGUCGGGAGUUAGGAAAUGCAGGAGCGUUAAUAGCGCACUUGCUUGACUAAGGCUCCAAAGGAAGCCACGGCUAACUCUGUGCCAGCAGCCGCGGUAAUACAGAGGCGGCAAGCGUUGUUCGGAAUUAUUGGGCGUAAAGAGCACGUAGGCGGCCUUGCAAGUCAGUUGUGAAAGCCUUCCGCUUAACGGGAGAACGGCAUCUGAUACUACAGGGCUUGAGUACGGGAGGG
rnacentral:rRNA from 1 species